rnacentral:rRNA from 1 species
AGAGUUUGAUCAUGGCUCAGGAUGAACGCUAGCGGCAGGCCUAACACAUGCAAGUCGAGGGGUAACAGGGGAGCUUGCUCCCGCUGACGACCGGCGCACGGGUGCGGAACGCGUAUGGAACCUACCUCAAUCAGGGGGAUAGCCCAGGGAAACUUGGAUUAAUACCCCAUAGUAUUGUUUUAUUGCAUGAUAGAACAAUUAAAGCUUCGGCGGAUUGAGAUGGCCAUGCGUAUCAUUAGCUAGUUGGUAAGGUAAUGGCUUACCAAGGCAACGAUGAUUAGGGGCCCUGAGAGGGGGAUCCCCCACACUGGUACUGAGACACGGACCAGACUCCUACGGGAGGCAGCAGUGAGGAAUAUUGGACAAAGGGCGAAUUUCGCGGCCG